rnacentral:rRNA from 1 species
GACGAACGCUGGCGGCGUGCUUAACACAUGCAAGUCGAACGGAGUGGCGAACGUGUGAGUAACGCGUAAUCAACCUGCCCUUCAGAGGGGAACAACAGUUGGAAACGACUGCUAAUACCGCAUACUGAAGGAGGGGAUUGCGUGUGAUUAGCUAGUUGGAGGGGUAACGGCCCACCAAGGCGAAGAUCAGUAGCCGGGUUGAGAGGAUGGACGGCCAAAUUGGGACUGAGACACGGCCCAGACUCCUACGGGAGGCAGCAGGUGGGGAUUUUCCGAAAUGGACGAAAGUCUGACGGAGCCACGCCGCGUGAGUGAUGACGGCCUUCGGGGUGUAAAGCUCUGUUAAUCGGGACGCGGUACCGGAAUAGAAAGCCACGGCUAACUACGUGCCAGCAGCCGCGGUAAUAC